rnacentral:rRNA from 1 species
UGCCAGCCGCCGCGGUAAUACGGAGGGUCCGAGCGUUAUCCGGAAUCAUUGGGUUUAAAGGGUCUGCAGGCGGUUGAUUAAGUCAGAGGUGAAAUCCCAUAGCUCAACUAUGGAACUGCCUUUAAUACUGGUUGACUUGAGUCAUAUGGAAGUAGAUAGAAUGUGUAGUGUAGCGGUGAAAUGCAUAGAUACUACACAGAAUACCGAUUGCGAAGGCAGUCUACUUCGUAUGUACUGACGCUGAGGGACGAAAGCGUGGGGAGCGAACAGGAUUAGAUA